rnacentral:lncRNA from 10 species
UGGGAUUACAGGCGUGAGCCACUGCUCAGCCCUGCAAAGACAGUUUCAGUAGCUAACUUUGUUUAAUGAGCUACUCAAGCAUACUUCCUAAGAAUAAAUAAAACUUUAUUUACUUUUUUAUGUUUUUUAUUAUUUACCAUAAGGUUUACUUGCAAAAGAGAAUAAAUAAAAGUUUAUAAAUGAGCUUUACAUUGUUUAAAAAAUCUUUUUCAAUAACUUAGAGUCAUGUUAUGUCAACCUGGGUAAUAGCUAAUCAUAAAAUGUCUGAGUCAUCUAUAUGAUACAGAAAAGCUAAAUAUUUAGUUCUGUUAAGAAACAAAAAAUUGUGGAAACAUCUUUCUAAACAUUAGAAAAUAGUUUUCAUCACAAAAACUGACAUAAACCAUCUCAAAUUACUUGCUUCCAAGGUUUUUCUUUUUUGUUUGUUUGUUUGCUGUUGUUUUUCUUUUACAAGCCCAGAACUAACAUCAUAACUUCCUAGGAUUUCCACUGGAAAUCAGGGUUAGGCUGGUUCCUUAUUUUUGCAAUUGCAAAUUGUAUUGCUAUGCACAUAUGUGUGUAAGUCUGUUUCAUACAAUGACUUCUUUUCCUUUGGGUAGAUACCCAUUAGUGGGACUGCUGCAUCAAAUGGUAAUUCUACUUUUAGUUCUCAAAGGAUUCUCCAUACUGUUUUCCAUAGUGUUUGUACUACAUUCCCACCAGCAGUGUGAAAGUGUUCCUUUUUCACCACAUCCACAUCAACAUCUAUUAUAUUUUGAUAUUUAAAUUAUGGCCAUUCUUGCAGGAGUAAGGUGGUAUUGCAUUGUGGUUUUGAUUUGCAUUUCCCUGAUAAUUAGUGAUGUUGAGCAUUUUUUUCAUGUUUGUUGGACAUUUGUAUAUCUUCUUUUGAGAAUUGUGUAUUCAUGUCCUUAGCCCACUUUUUGAUGGGAUUUUUUUUUUUUGCUGAUUUGUUUGAGUUCCUGGUAGAUUCUGGGUAUUAGUCCUUUGUUGGAUGAAUAGUCUGUGAAAAUUUUCUCCCACUCUGGGGGUUCUCUGUUUACUCUGCUGAUUAUUUUUAUUUUAUUUUAUUUUUAUGUUUAUUUUUUUUGAGA